rfam:Gossypium arboreum cultivar AKA8401 contig_11072_7, whole genome shotgun sequence.
AAUCCGUGAUGUAGGAACCUUUAAAUCAACUUCUUGAAACACUCCCAUGCUUCGUAAAGGUUUUCUCCUUCUAAAUACUUGAACAUCAAAAUUUCUCUUCUUAACUU